rnacentral:rRNA from 1 species
CAGCCGCCACGGGAAUACGAAGGGGGCUAGCGUUGUUCGGAAUUACUGGGCGUAAAGCGCACGUAGGCGGAUAUUUAAGUCAGGGGUGAAAUCCCAGAGCUCAACUCUGGAACUGCCUUUGAUACUGGGUAUCUUGAGUAUGGAAGAGGUUAGUGGAAUUGCGAGUGUAGAGGUGAAAUUCGUAGAUAUUCGCAGGAACACCAGUGGCGAAGGCGGCUAACUGGUCCAUAACUGACGCUGAGGUGCGAAAGCGUGGGGAGCAAACAGGAUUAGAUACCCGCGUAGUCCCUGUCUCUUAUAC